rnacentral:rRNA from 1 species
AGAGUUUGAUCAUGGCUCAGAUUGAACGCUGGCGGCAGGCCUAACACAUGCAAGUCGAGCGGUAGCACAGAGAGCUUGCUCUCGGGUGACGAGCGGCGGACGGGUGAGUAAUGUCUGGGAAACUGCCUGAUGGAGGGGGAUAACUACUGGAAACGGUAGCUAAUACCGCAUAACGUCGCAAGACCAAAGUGGGGGACCUUCGGGCCUCAUGCCAUCAGAUGUGCCCAGAUGGGAUUAGCUAGUAGGUGGGGUAACGGCUCACCUAGGCGACGAUCCCUAGCUGGUCUGAGAGGAUGACCAGCCACACUGGAACUGAGACACGGUCCAGACUCCUACGGGAGGCAGCAGUGGGGAAUAUUGCACAAUGGGCGCAAGCCUGAUGCAGCCAUGCCGCGUGUAUGAAGAAGGCCUUCGGGUUGUAAAGUACUUUCAGCGGGGAGGAAGGCGAUAAGGUUAAUAACCUUGUCGAUUGACGUUACCCGCAGAAGAAGCACCGGCUAACUCCGUGCCAGCAGCCGCGGUAAUACGGAGGGUGCAAGCGUUAAUCGGAAUUACUGGGCGUAAAGCGCACGCAGGCGGUCUGUCAAGUCGGAUGUGAAAUCCCCGGGCUCAACCUGGGAACUGCAUUCGAAACUGGCAGGCUAGAGUCUUGUAGAGGGGGGUAGAAUUCCAGGUGUAGCGGUGAAAUGCGUAGAGAUCUGGAGGAAUACCGGUGGCGAAGGCGGCCCCCUGGACAAAGACUGACGCUCAGGUGCGAAAGCGUGGGGAGCAAACAGGAUUAGAUACCCUGGUAGUCCACGCCGUAAACGAUGUCGAUUUGGAGGUUGUGCCCUUGAGGCGUGGCUUCCGGAGCUAACGCGUUAAAUCGACCGCCUGGGGAGUACGGCCGCAAGGUUAAAACUCAAAUGAAUUGACGGGGGCCCGCACAAGCGGUGGAGCAUGUGGUUUAAUUCGAUGCAACGCGAAGAACCUUACCUGGUCUUGACAUCCACAGAACUU